rnacentral:rRNA from 1 species
UACGAAGGGGGCUAGCGUUGCUCGGAAUUACUGGGCGUAAAGGGCUCGUAGGCGGCCAACUAAGUCGGACGUGAAAUCCCCAGGCUCAACCUGGGAACUGCGUCCGAUACUGGAUGGCUUGAAUCCGGGAGAGGGAUGCGGAAUUCCAGGUGUAGCGGUGAAAUGCGUAGAUAUCUGGAGGAACACCGGUGGCGAAGGCGGCAUCCUGGACCGGCAUUGACGCUGAGGAGCGAAAGCCAGGGGAGCAAACGGG